GAAUUCGUCCUUAUGCUUAACACAUGCAAGUCGAAACGGUAACAGAUCUAGCUUGCUAGAUGCUGACGAGCGGCGGACGGGUGAGUAAUGCAUAGGAAUCUGCCCGAUAGUGGGGGAUAACCUGGGGAAACCCAGGCUAAUACCGCAUACGUCCUACGGGAGAAAGGGGGCUUCGGCUCCCGCUAUUGGAUGAGCCUAUGUCGGAUUAGCUGGUUGGUGAGGUAACGGCUCACCAAGGCGACGAUCCGUAGCUGGUCUGAGAGGAUGAUCAGCCACAUCGGGACUGAGACACGGCCCGAACUCCUACGGGAGGCAGCAGUGGGGAAUAUUGGACAAUGGGGGCAACCCUGAUCCAGCCAUGCCGCGUGUGUGAAGAAGGCCCUCGGGUUGUAAAGCACUUUCAGCGAGAAGAACGCCUGGUGGUUAAUACCCAUUAGGAAAGACAUCACUCGCAGAAGAAGCACCGGCUAACUCCGUGCCAGCAGCCGCGGUAAUACGGAGGGUGCAAGCGUUAAUCGGAAUCACUGGGCGUAAAGCGCGCGUAGGUGGCUUGAUAAGCCGGUUGUGAAAGCCCCGGGCUCAACCUGGGAACGGCAUCCGGAACUGUCAGGCUAGAGUGCAGGAGAGGAAGGUAGAAUUCCCGGUGUAGCGGUGAAAUGC
rnacentral:rRNA from 1 species